rnacentral:rRNA from 1 species
UCAGGAUGAACGCUAGCUACAGGCUUAACACAUGCAAGUCGAGGGGCAGCAUGUUGGUUGCUUGCAACCAAUGAUGGCGACCGGCGCACGGGUGAGUAACGCGUAUCCAACCUUCCCCUUAGUAGAGGAUAGCCCGGCGAAAGUCGGAUUAAUACUCUAUGUUCUUCAAUGCGGGCAUCUAAGUUGAAGCAAAGAUUUAUCGCUAAGGGAUGGGGAUGCGUCUGAUUAGGUUGCAGGCGGGGUAACGGCCCACCUGGCCUACGAUCAGUAGGGGUUCUGAGAGGAAGGUCCCCCACACUGGUACUGAGACACGGACCAGACUCCUACGGGAGGCAGCAGUGAGGAAUAUUGGUCAAUGGGCGAGAGCCUGAACCAGCCAAGUAGCGUGCAAGGAUGACGGCCCUAUGGGUUGUAAACUGCUUUUGUACGGGAAUAAAGUCAUCCACGUGUGGAUGUUUGCAUGUACCGUAAGAAUAAGGACCGGCUAAUUCCGUGCCAGCAGCCGC